AUCCAGCUGAGUCCCAAAUAGGACGAGACGCGCGUCCUGGAU
rnacentral:hammerhead_ribozyme from 1 species